AACGAACGCUGGCGGCAGGCUUAACACAUGCAAGUCGAACGCCCGAGCAAUCGGGAGUGGCAGACGGGUGAGUAACACGUGGGAACAUACCCUCAGGUUCGGAACAACGCCGGGAAACUGGCGCUAAUACCGGAUACGCCCUAUUGGGGAAAGGCUUGCUGCCUGAGGAUUGGCCCGCGUUCGAUUAGCUUGAUGGCGGGGUAACGGCCCACCAUGGCGACGAUCGAUAGCUGGUCUGAGAGGAUGGCCAGCCACAUUGGGACUGAGACACGGCCCAAACUCCUACGGGAGGCAGCAGUGGGGAAUAUUGGACAAUGGGCGCAAGCCUGAUCCAGCCAUGCCGCGUGAGUGAUGACGGCCUUAGGGUUGUAAAGCUCUUUCGCACGCGACGAUAAUGACGGUAGCGUGAGAAGAAGCCCCGGCUAACUUCGUGCCAGCAGCCGCGGUAAUACGAAGGGGGCUAGCGUUGUUCGGAAUCACUGGGCGUAAAGGGUGCGCAGGCGGGUUCAUAAGUCAGGGGUGAAAUCCCGAGGCUCAACCUCGGAACGGCCUUUGAUACUGUGGAUCUUGAGUCCGGAAGAGGUGAGUGGAACUGCGAGUGUAGAGGUGAAAUUCGUAGAUAUUCGCAAGAACACCGGUGGCG
rnacentral:rRNA from 1 species